UACGUAGGGUGCGAGCGUUAAUCGGAAUUACUGGGCGUAAAGCGUGCGCAGGCGGUUAUGCAAGACAGAUGUGAAAUCCCCGGGCUCAACCUGGGAACUGCCUUUGUGACUGCAUGGCUAGAGUACGGUAGAGGGGGAUGGAAUUCCGCGUGUAGCAGUGAAAUGCGUAGAUAUGCGGAGGAACACCGAUGGCGAAGGCAAUCCCCUGGACCUGUACUGACGCUCAUGCACGAAAGCGUGGGGAGCAAACAGG
rnacentral:rRNA from 1 species